AAACGUAGGGGGCGAGCGUUGUCCGGAAUCAUUGGGCGUAAAGAGCACGUAGGCGGCCUGUCAAGUCGGAUGUGAAAACCCGCGGCUCAACUGCGGGACUGCAUUCGAAACUGGCAGGCUAGAGUCCAGUAGGGGAAAGUGGAAUUCCCAGUGUAGCGGUGAAAUGCGCAGAUAUUGGGAAGAACACCGGUGGCGAAGGCGGCUUUCUGGGCUGAGACUGACGCUGAGGUGCGAAAGCUAGGGGAGCGAACAGGAUUAGAUACCCCAGUAGUCC
rnacentral:rRNA from 1 species